CCUACCACUCCCUUCACAUAGUCGCCGUCCCCUGCCAGGAAUGUUACGAAAGCUCUCUUCUUCACUUGGCCUCCAAACGAUUCUGCAAGAGCACCGGAGGCCAUGGAAACAGAGACUAUGGAAGAUGACUUCCCGUUUGUUGACAAAUAGUGUUUCGUUGGCAACUGGAAUGAACGGCUGUCGAUCAUUCAAAAUGUGGUGGUUCUGCAGAGUGGAACGACUUGUGGUCAAUCAUGUUCUGUGGUAGAGGUGGAAUUCGAGUUUUUCUGUGAAGCAGACUUGGAAGAAAGUUCCAGCAAUUCUAGGAAUUAACACGGUGCAUUUCUGUGCUCUCUUAUUUCUUUCUUUCAAUUUUGUACUGCAAGUUCAUCCCUGUCAAGUAACAGCACCAGAAGAAGGCCCAGCGACCACGGAACCCUUGGAAUUUCUAUCCGUUCCGGAGGAAAGGCCACCGCGGGCCGGUGUCCCGCGCCUCGGCCUCGUGGCAGAAGCACGAUCGCGACACUGUGGUCCAUCCCAAGUGCUCGACUGUUCCAAUGGUAGGGAGAGGCGGCGCGGGCCGGUGCUUCUCUGUGAUUGGUGAUCCCCAAGGCAGACUCAAACCCAGGCGGUGAAUUUGGAAUCUUUUCUAGUCCGAUCUGAGGAAUAUUAUUUUCGGAAGGCAAUUUUUGCCCAAUGAUUUGUUCCCCUUAAUUUUCUUCUCUGCUUAUGCAAUUUAAACAUUCAUAUGAUUUGUUUGUGUUUUA